rnacentral:piRNA from 1 species
UUACAUAUUCCAAUAUUUUUUGUCAAUGC